rnacentral:rRNA from 1 species
AUGGUUAAGCUAAUAAGAGCACACGGAGGAUGCCUAGGCGCCAGGAGCCGACGAAGGACGUGGCGAACAACGAAACUGCCUCGGGGAGCUGUAAGCAAGCUUUGAUCCGGGGGUGUCCGAAUGGGGAAACCCAGCUGUGGUAAUUCGCAGUUACUCCUCUCUGAAUACAUAGGAGAGGUAGAGGCAGACCAGGGGAACUGAAACAUCUAAGUACCCUGAGGAAGAGAAAACAAUAGUGAUUCCGUCAGUAGCGGCGAGCGAACGCGGAACAGCCUAAACCUAAGAGCUUGCUCUUAGGGGUUGUGGGACGUCUCACAUGGAGUUACAAAGGAAUAUAGUAGGCGAAGAGGUCUGGAAAGGCCCGCGAUAGAGGUAAAAGCCCUGUAGCCUAAACUGUAUUCUCUCCGAGACGGAUCCCGAGUAGUGCGGGGCACGUGAAACCCCGUAUGAAUCCAGCAGGACCAUCUGCUAAGGCUAAAUACUACCUGGCGACCGAUAGUGAAACAGUACCGUGAGGGAAAGGUGAAAAGCACCCCGGAAGGGGAGUGAAAUAGAACCUGAAACCGUGUGCUUACAAAAAGUCAGAGCCCGUUUUAGGGGUGAUGGCGUGCCUUUUGUAGAAUGAACCGGCGAGUUACGUUUACCAUGCAAGGUUAAGGUGAGAAGCCGGAGCCGCAGCGAAAGCGAGUCUGAAUAGGGCGAUUUGAGUAUGGGGGCGUAGACCCGAAACCGUGUGAUCUACCCCUGUCCAGGGUGAAGGUGCGGUAACACGCACUGGAGGCCCGAACCCACGCAUGUUGAAAAAUGCGGGGAUGAGGUGGGGGUAGCGGAGAAAUUCCAAUCGAACUCGGAGAUAGCUGGUUCUCCCCGAAAUAGCUUUAGGGCUAGCCUCGGUAUAAGAAUAGUGGAGGUAGAGCACUGAUUGGGUGCGGGGCCCGCAAGGGUUACCAAGCUCAGUCAAACUCCGAAUGCCACAUAUUUAUUGCCGGGAGUCAGACAGUGAGUGCUAAGAUCCAUUGUCGAAAGGGAAACAGCCCAGACCAUCAGCUAAGGUCCCCAAGUGUGUGUUAAGUGGGAAAGGAUGUGGAGUUGCACAGACAACCAGGAUGUUGGCUUAGAAGCAGCCACCAUUGAAAGAGUGCGUAAUAGCUCACUGGUCGAGUGACUCUGCGCCGAAAAUGUAACGGGGCUAAACACACCACCGAAGCUAUGGCUAGAUACAAUGUAUCUGGGGUAGGGGAGCGUUGUAUAUACGUUGAAGGUAUACCGUGAGGAGUGCUGGAGCGUAUACAAGUGAGAAUGCCGGUAUGAGUAACGAAAAGAUCAGUGAGAAUCUGAUCCGCCGAAAGCCCAAGGUUUCCUGAGGAAGGCUCGUCCGCUCAGGGUAAGUCGGGACCUAAGGCGAGGCCGAAAGGCGUAGUCGAAGGACAACAGUUUGAAAUUACUGUACCACCGUAAUCCGCUAUGAGCGAUGGGGUGACGCAGGAGGGUAGUGACGCGGACUGAUGGAUGUGUCCGUCUAAGCAGUGAGGCUGAUGUGUAGGCAAAUCCGCACAUCGUGAAGGCUGGGCUGUGAUGGGGAGCGAAAAUGUUAGUAGCGAAGGUCAUGAUCUCACACUGCCAAGAAAAGCCUCUAGCCAGGAGAAGGUGCCCGUACCGCAAACCGACACAGGUAGGCGAGAAGAGAAUUCUAAGGCGCGCGGAAGAACUCUCGUUAAGGAACUCGGCAAAAUGACCUCGUAACUUCGGGAGAAGAGGUGCCUCGGUAGGGUGAAUAGCCCGAGGGGGCCGCAGUGAAAAGGCCCAAGCGACUGUUUAGCAAAAACACAGGUCUGUGCGAAGCCGUAAGGCGAAGUAUACGGGCUGACGCCUGCCCGGUGCUGGAAGGUUAAGGGGAGCGGUUAGGGGUAACCCGAAGCUGUGAACCGAAGCCCCAGUAAACGGCGGCCGUAACUAUAACGGUCCUAAGGUAGCGAAAUUCCUUGUCAGGUAAAUUCUGACCCGCACGAAUGGCGUAACGACUUGGGCGCUGUCUCAACGAGAGAUCCGGUGAAAUUUUAAUACCUGUGAAGAUGCAGGUUACCCGCGACAAGACGGAAAGACCCCAUGGAGCUUUACUGCAGCUUGAUAUUGAAUUUGGGUACGAUCUGUACAGGAUAGGUGGGAGCCAGAGAAGCAGGAGCGCAAGCUUCUGCAGAGGCGCCGUUGGGAUACCACCCUGAUCGUAUCUAGGUUCUAACCUAGUGCCCUUAUCGGGUACGGGGACCGUGUCAGGCGGGCAGUUUGACUGGGGCGGUCGCCUCCUAAAGAGUAACGGAGGCGUUCCAAGGUUCCCUCAGAAUGGUUGGAAAUCAUUCGCAGAGUGCAAAGGCAUAAGGGAGCUUGACUGCGAGACCUACAAGUCGAGCAGGGACGAAAGUCGGACUUAGUGAUCCGGUGGUACCGCAUGGAAGGGCCAUCGCUCAACGGAUAAAAGCUACCCUGGGGAUAACAGGCUUAUCUCCCCCAAGAGUCCACAUCGACGGGGAGGUUUGGCACCUCGAUGUCGGCUCAUCGCAUCCUGGGGCUGAAGUAGGUCCCAAGGGUUGGGCUGUUCGCCCAUUAAAGCGGUACGCGAGCUGGGUUCAGAACGUCGUGAGACAGUUCGGUCCCUAUCUGUCGUGGGCGCAGGAAAUUUGAGAGGAGCUGUCCUUAGUACGAGAGGACCGGGAUGGACGUACCGCUGGUGCACCAGUUGUUCCGCCAGGAGCAUGGCUGGGUAGCUACGUACGGACGGGAUAAGCGCUGAAAGCAUCUAAGCGUGAAGCCCCCCUCAAGAUGAGAUUUCCCAAUUAGUAAGACCCCUUGAAGACGACGAGGUAGAUAGGUUGGAGGUGGAAGUGCAGCAAUGCAUGGAGCUGACCAAUACUAAUCGGUCGAGGGCUUAUCCACAA